AAUGAACGCUGGCGGCAGGCCUAACACAUGCAAGUCGAGCGGAGCGGCGGCAGGGUGAGUAAUGCCGAGGUAUCUGCCAGGUCGAGGGGGACAACGUCCGGUAACGGGCGAUAAUCCCGUAUACUAUCAGAUGAGCCGAGUUCGUAUUAGCUAGCUGGUGGGGUAAAGGCCUACAAAGGCGACGACCCGUAACAGGUCUGAGAGGAUGAUCAGUCACACGGGAACUUAGACACGGUCCAGACUCCUACGGUAGGCAGCAGUGGGGAAUAGUGGGCAAUGGGCGAAAGCCUGAUCCAGCCAUGCCGCGUGUGUGAAGAAGGUCUUCGGAUUGUAAAGCACUUUUAGUUGGGAAGCGUUACCAACAGAAUAAGCACCGGCUAACUACGUGCCAGCAGCCGCGGUAAUAC
rnacentral:rRNA from 1 species